CAGUAGCCACGGUAAGACGAACCGUGCAAACGUUACUCGGAAUCACUGGGCUUAAAGCGCACGUAGGCGGCGACAUAAGUUAGAGGUGAAAUCCCAUCGGCUCAACCGUGGAACUGCCUCUAAUACUGUGUUGCUUGAGGGAGAACGGGGCAUUCGGAACUUCCGGUGGAGCGGUGAAAUGUGUUGAUAUCGGAAGGAACGCCGGUGGCGAAAGCGGAAUGCUGGGUCUCUUCUGACGCUGAGGUGCGAAAGCUAGGGUAGCGAACGGGAUUAGAUACCCGGGUAGUCCCUGUCUCUUAUA
rnacentral:rRNA from 1 species